UACGGAGGGUGCGAGCGUUGUCCGGAAUCACUGGGCGUAAAGGGCGCGUAGGUGGCGCGAGGAGUCUGUGGUGAAAGCCCGAGGCUCAACUUCGGGUCGGCCGCGGAUACUCUCGUGCUGGAGGGUGGUAGAGGCCAAUGGAAUUCCGGGUGUAGCGGUGGAAUGCGUAGAUAUCGGGAGGAACACCUGUGGCGAAAGCGGCUCACUGGACCAUAACUGACGCUGAUGCACGAAAGCUAGGGGAGCAAACAGG
rnacentral:rRNA from 1 species